UACGGAAGGCAGCAGUGGGGAAUAUUGCACAAUGGGCGAAAGCCUGAUGCAGCUAUGCCGCGUGUAUGAAGAAGGCCUUAGGGUUGUAAAGUACUUUCAUCGGGGAGGAAAAAACAAAACUAAUAAUUUUAUUUCUUGACGUUACCCGAAAAAGAAGCACCGGCUAACUCCGUGCCAGCAGCCGCGGUAAUACGGAGGGUGCUAGCGUUAAUCAGAAUUACUGGGCGUAAAAGAGCACGUAGGUGGUUUUUUUAAAGUCAGAUGUGAAAUCCCUGGGCUUAACCUAGGAACUGCAUUUUGAAAACUGAAAAUACUAGAGUAUCGUAGAGGGAGGUAGAAUUCUAGGUGUAGCGGUGAAAUGCGUAGAUAUCUGGAGGAAUACCUGUGGCGAAAGCGGCCUCCUAAACGAAUACUGACACUGAGGUGCGAAAAGCAUGGGGAGCAAAACAGGGAUUAGAUACC
rnacentral:rRNA from 1 species